rnacentral:snoRNA from 1 species
UACAUGUAAACGUACAUGUAGAGGUAAAGGUAUUUUUACUUUACCUUUACAUGUAAACGUACAUGUACAUGUAGAGGUAAAGGUAUUUUUACUUUACCUUUACAUGUAAACGUACAUGUACAUGUAGAGGUAAAGGUACUUUAACUUUACCUUUACAUGUAAACGUAC